rnacentral:rRNA from 1 species
GCGAAUGGCUCAUUAAAUCAGUUAUCGUUUAUUUGAUAAUACCUUACUACUUGGAUAACCGUGGUAAUUCUAGAGCUAAUACAUGCUGAAAAUCCCGACUUCGGAAGGGAUGUGUUUAUUAGAUAAAAAACCAAUGCCCUUCGGGGCUUUUUGGUGAUUCAUGAUAACUUUACGGAUCGCAUAGCCUUGCGCUGGCGACGGUUCAUUCAAAUUUCUGCCCUAUCAACUUUCGAUGGUAAGGUAUUGGCUUACCAUGGUUUCAACGGGUAACGGGGAAUUAGGGUUCGAUUCCGGAGAGGGAGCCUGAGAAACGGCUACCACAUCCAAGGAAGGCAGCAGGCGCGCAAAUUACCCAAUCCCGACACGGGGAGGUAGUGACAAUAAAUACUGAUACAGGGCUCUUUUGGGUCUUGUAAUUGGAAUGAGUACAAUUUAAACCUCUUAACGAGGAACAAUUGGAGGGCAAGUCUGGUGCCAGCAGCCGCGGUAAUUCCAGCUCCAAUAGCGUAUAUUAAAGUUGUUGCAGUUAAAAAGCUCGUAGUUGAAACUUGGGCCUGGCUGGCGGGUCCGCCUCACCGCGUGCACUCGUCCGGCCGGGCCUUCCUUCUGAAGAACCUCAUGCCCUUCACUGGGCGUGCUGGGGAAUCAGGACUUUUACUUUGAAAAAAUUAGAGUGUUCAAAGCAGGCCUUUGCUCGAAUACGUUAGCAUGGAAUAAUAAAAUAGGGCGUGCGUUUCUAUUUUGUUGGUUUCUAGAGACGCCGCAAUGAUUAACAGGAACAGUCGGGGGCAUCAGUAUUCAGUUGUCAGAGGUGAAAUUCUUGGAUUUACUGAAGACUAACUACUGCGAAAGCAUUUGCCAAGGAUGUUUUCAUUAAUCAGUGAACGAAAGUUAGGGGAUCGAAGACGAUCAGAUACCGUCGUAGUCUUAACCGUAAACUAUGCCGACUAGGGAUCGGGCGAUGUCUUUUUCUGACUCGCUCG